rnacentral:lncRNA from 1 species
CGGGGCAAGGGCGAGGUGGUGGAGAUCCCAUCCCGAGUGCAUGGGUCCCUGGAGCCCUUCUGCCCCUCCCAGGCCCCGCUCGGUGGCAGCCAGGACCCCGCUGGGCCCUCCGCCUCCAUCCCCAAGCUGAAGCUGACACGUCCCGGGCCCCCUGGCACCAACCUGCCACCCCCCAAGAUCCGCUUGAAGCCCCACCCCCGGGGCUCUGGGGAGCAGGAGCCCGUCUACAGGGCCGAGCUGGUGGAGGCACUCAACGGCCAUGGGCGAGGCCCCCGGGCCGGCUCACCCGCUCUCCUCGGCCACAGCUCUGCCGGCAGCGGGCUGGUGGACUCUUCUUCCGGAAGCUCUGGCGAGGAUGAGGACUUCAAACGGUGUCCCCAGGGUCAACGCGGGCGAGAGAGCCUGGCUUUCCUCACCUCCUGCCCUGGGAGGGGGACGGAUUGUCCCCGUGAGUCAGUGUGGAGCAGCGACAGCCUGGAUGAGGCCAAAUCGUCCAGCUCGGAAGUCACAUCCCCAGACACGUGUGACCUCUCGUCGGGCGACGGUGCGUCUGUGCGGCCCUCGUCCAAGGACGCGUCCCGCCGCUCACGGUCAGGCUGCACACACAGAGCGUCUCCAAGUGCGUGACCGAGGAUGGAAGGACGGUGGCCGUAGGGGACAUCGUGUGGGGUCAUCGAUGAUGAGAGCACAGCUAUCCUGGAGCUUCCGACGUUGGGGGUGCCCUCCACGUCCCCCAUUCCGUCUGAGGGACCCUGCGUGCCUUCUGGCCAGCUAUGUGCAGAGACGUGCCCGGCCCAUGGCGGUCAGCCUGCUCACGGUUGCCCCGAGAGGGGCAGGCGUGUCCGGCCCGGAGGACAGCGCCCCCGGAGCACGGCGGCUCCUCUCCGUGGAAUGUAUUGAUUCCCCACACUCACACUUCUGUUCUUCUGCUUUGUGAAGCUCCAGGAGCGCAGUGACACGCCCGCUGCUGCCACCUUGCCCUCGGGGGUGCCACGGAGCAGAGUGGGGGGCACCCCAGCAUCGGGCAUCCUGGGCCAGGCCCACCGCAGGGUCUCUGUGCACUUGAGAACCGGGGCGGCAAAGCCGGGGUCCUGCCGGGCGCCUGGCACCUGCCCUCAGGGGUUGCCAUGCCCCCCCCACGCCUACCCGAGCUGUGGGCCUGGGGAGGGCACCGCUUUGAGAACGCUCAGACUUCCAUAGGAAAGCAACCUGGCCCCGCGUUUGUAAGAGAGGGCUCCUCUCUCCUUUUUGUCACUUUAAAGAUCAAAAAGAAAAAGAAAGAAACAGAAAA